UUCCGGUUGAUCCCGCCGGACCUGACUGCUAUCGGAUUGAUACUAAGCCAUGCGAGUCUUUGCAGUAAUGCAAGGCAUACGGCUCAGUAACACGUAGUCAACUUACCCUAUGGACGAGGAUAAUCUCGGGAAACUGAGCAUAAUACUCGAUAGAUCAUAAUGCCUGGAAUGGUUUAUGGUUGAAAUGAUUCGUCGCCAUAGGAUGGGACUGCGGCCUAUCAGCUUGUUGGUGAGGUAAUGGCCCACCAAGGCGAUUACAGGUACGGGCUCUGAGAGGAGAAGCCCGGAGAUGGGUACUGAGACAAGGACCCAGGCCCUAUGGGGCGCAGCAGGCGAGAAAACUUUGCAAUGUGCGAAAGCACGACAAGGUUAAUCCGAGUGAUUUCUGCUAAAGAAAUCUUUUGCAAGUCAUAAAACCACUAGUGAAUAAGGGGUGGGCAAGUUCUGGUGUCAGCCGCCGCGGUAAAACCAGCACCUCAAGUGGUCAGGAGGAUUAUUGGGCCUAAAGCAUCCGUAGCCGGCUCUGUAAGUUUUCGGUUAAAUCCAUGUGCUCAACACAUGGGCUGCCGAAAAUACUGCAUAGCUAGGGAGUGGGAGAGGUAGACGGUACUCGGUAGGAAGGGGUAAAAUCCUUUGAUCUAUCGAUGACCACCUGUGGCGAAGGCGGUCUACCAGAACACGUUCGACGGUGAGGGAUGAAAGCUGGGGGAGCAAACCGGAUUAGAUACCCGGGUAGUCCCAGCUGUAAACGAUGCAGACUCGAUGAUGCAUUGGCAUAUAGCCAGUGCAGUGUCGCAGGGAAGCCGUUAAGUCUGCCGCCUGGGAAGUACGUACGCAAGUAUGAAACUUAAAGGAAUUGGCGGGGGAGCACCACAAGGGGUGAAGCCUGCGGUUCAAUUGGAUUCAACGCCGGG
rnacentral:rRNA from 1 species